rnacentral:lncRNA from 1 species
UAUUCCUAAAGGAUGUCGUUGAACUAACAACAGUUCCCUAAGUAUACGGGUGGAAAAGAGUGGAGGAGGGGACGAGAUCGGGGGCGAUAGACAAUGGCCCAGUCCAUCUAGUAACAAGACUACUACAACGGGAAGGGACAGUUCGUUGCUUAUAGCAGUGAGAUCUGUAUAUAAUUGACCAGCGACGAUGUGCUCAAAGCUUCCAUGGCUACAGUUAAUUUGGAGAUGGUUGAUUCCAAAUUAGCUGUUGUGCGCUGGGUACACGAACACGAUAUCCUCAAUUAAUACCUAGCAACCCUAAUUGGUUAUGGGGACUCCUCAUCUGUAUGUGCGUGUUUGUCUAAAACCCCAAUCAGUCUCAAAGGAUCAGAGCUUGAUUCUGGUUACUUGACAUUUAGCUUUGACAUAUUUUCAUCACAGUCUGUGUACAACGAACUAAAUCAGGAAGAUAUAGAAGUAUAUAUAACACAGUACAAGGAAAUACCCGUUCUCAAUUCGAACUCAAUGUUAGUAGGUGUAAACCUCGUAAUUCUGUCCGCUACUACACAUAUACAGAGAAGACACGUAGGCCGAAAGAGCAAUGGCUAUUUUAUUAAAAGUUUUAGUAUAAAUUUUGUGAUCGUUUGUGUUUCAUUAAACGCAACAAAAUAACUCAGUACUGCUUAGGAGGAUCAUAUUGAGCCAAAUUUUCUUAGAGAACCCAAUAUCAGUGCUUUAGGCACAAAACCUCGUAGGAAAUAAGAGUAUGUGACAUGGAAAUGGUUACAACUGCGAAUCGAAAUAGUUGUUACCACCAGCAGACAUUCUUAAGAUUCUAGCAAAGAUUAUACAUAUAUAAAAAAAGAGAGAGAGAACUUUUGGUGAGACAACAGUGCAUACAUACAAGAAAUAAAUAGGCCAUGGGAACGUACGAUAUAUAUAUUAAUAUUAUAUUAGAUUAGAUAAUUGUAGACAUAAAUAUACCCUCGUGUAUAAACUUUUUUCGUAAGGUCGUACUAAUCCAGAACUUCAUGUAGCAUAUUCAGUUUUAGAUUCUUCCGCCUCUCAUGGAGCAUCGGGUGACGCGAGAUAUCUUCUAACCUAGCAAGGUUGCAAACCCUCGCUAUGAAUUCCCACCCUGCCUGUCAAUGGAAGGUAUUUUUAAUAUUCCACUCCUACACAAAGUUUAGAGAUGGUGAAACCACUCGUUAAUAAGUAUCAGUAAAUAUUGCACAUUGCGGUUUUCAAAGAAGAGCGCCAUUCUAUCGAUCCAUUCUAUCGAUCCAGCCAACAUCGAUAAACGAUUACUUAGGUCAAUUCAACCAAAUAUCUAUCUAUCUAUCUAUCUUUCUCUCUCUCUUUCUAUAUAUAUAUAUAUAUAUAUAUAUAUAUGUAUGUAUGUAUGUAUAUAUACACCCACGCCUUCUUCCUGGUAGUGCCCCAGUUUGGCCGCAGCCCAAUGACUGAAGCGAAUAACAAGAUGUUGCUUUCUGUAGCGUGGAAAUAAAUAAACGUUAAAUUUUGGGAUCAAGGACGAAAAAUCCAGGAUCAUGUUAAAAGAAGACGAAACGAAAUGUGUUGGACCAAGAUGAUUAAUGCAGCGGUGACUGACUCAAAGUGCUAUAGAUCAGAUUUGCAUCGAACGGAACUUAUUUUCAACCAAAAGGUAAAGUGUAACUAGAGCAAAUCACUUGAAAAUAAGCUUAAAAUGCAUUGAUAAAGCAUUCUCCCUCCUGUUAAAUGAAGGGACUUCACGGACACAACAGAUACUCACCAGAUAAGCCAAAUCUGUAACGUAGGGUUUCGAUUCCCAGCUGCUGAAGUCAUUUAUUUUCACUUCAAUCAAGAAGCUUAAUAAUUUUACCCUUGGCCAAUCACUGCACGAAUGUCAUACAGUUCUCUCACUACACAACUACUAAACUUCUGUAAUUAAUGAAGUUGUGGCUUUUGUAUUUAAAUAAAUCAUAAUGAUAAUUGUU